AGAGCGAACGCUGGCGGCAGGCCUAACACAUGCAAGUCGAGCGGCCGUAGCAAUACGGCAGCGGCAGACGGGAUAGUAACACGUGGGAACGCGCCCUUCGGUUCGGAAUAACUCAGGGAAACUUGAGCUAAUACCGGAUACGCCCUUACGGGGAAAGAUUUAUUGCCGAAGGAACGGCCCGCGUCCGAUUAGCUAGUUGGUGAGGUAAUGGCUCACCAAGGCUACGAUCGGUAGCUGGGUCUGAGAGGAUGACCAGCAUCACUGGGACUGAGACACGGCCCAGACUCCUACGGGAGGCAGCAGUGGGGAAUAUUGGACAAUGGGCGCAAGCCUGAUCCAGCCAUGCCGCGUGGAUGAUGACGGCCUUAGGGUUGUAAAAGUCCUUUUAAACGGGGAAGAUAAAUGACGGUACCCGUAGAAUAAGCCCGGCUAAACUUCGCGCCAGCAGCCGC
rnacentral:rRNA from 1 species